CAGUCGCCGCGGGAAUACGGAGGGUGCAAGCGUUAAUCGGAAUUACUGGGCGUAAAGCGGGCGUAGGCGGUUCGUUAAGUCUGUUGUGAAAGCCCCGGGCUCAACCUGGGAAUGGCAAUGGAUACUGGCGAGCUAGAGUGUGUCAGAGGAUGGUGGAAUUCCCGGUGUAGCGGUGAAAUGCGUAGAUAUCGGAAGGAACACCAGUGGCGAAGGCGGCUACCUGGACUGAGACUGACACUGAGGCGCGAGAGCGUGGGGAGCAAACAGGAUUAGAUACCCCCGUAGUCCCUGUCUCUUAUAC
rnacentral:rRNA from 1 species